CUGCAGCGAAAGUGCCGAGUCCUAACCACUGGACCGCCAGGGAAUUCCCUGUUUUUAUUUUUUAGAGACCAAAUAAGGUCUCUACAUUCAAUUGGUUGAUAUAUUCCUCACAAAAUCCUCCCUCUUCUCUCUCUCUCUCACUUUUUCUUGUAUUUCAUUUGUUGAAAAAAAACCUUGUCCUUUAACUGUCUCCCACAGGUCUGUAUUUGGCUAAUUCCAUCCUAUGGGGGUCCUUUAACAUGUUCCUCUAUCCUCUGCUUUCCUAAUAUUGGUAGUUGGAUCUGUAAACAUGAUCAGGUUCAGAUUGGGGAGAGGGGGGGCAAGAAUACUCCAUAGUGAUCUUAUGUAACUUCUAUCAAGAGGUACCUGGCGUUUUGUUUUUGUUUUCGUUUUUCUGUCUCUUUUCUUGUAAUGUUAGCAGCCAUCGAUAAGCCCUGAUUUCACUUCGGUUUGCCAAAUGAUGAUAUUUUAAAUCCGUCGCUCCUUCUUCAUUUAUUAGUUGAAAUACUUCUAUAAAGAGAACUACCCCUAAUCAACUAUUUGGUUUUUCCCUGAGGUACAGUUUGUAUAGGAACAGCACAACAGCUGCUUGAUUAGGACUCCUUUGAUUUUUUUUUUUUAAUAUCACUAUAUAAAUUUUGGCCUCCAUGCCUUAGAUUUCGGAGUCCCUUCCAGUGAGAGACUCUUCUCUGACAGGACAUUUAUACAUGCAUACAACUCAGAAUAACUUUUCUCAUGGCCUUUGAUGUUUUUCUCCUGCCUACCCCUCUCCAGUUUGUCUAGGUUCGCCAGAAAGCAUUGUGCUGAAGAGCUCACUAAAUACUUGAGUGAUUCCUCAGGGAUGGACUUGCUAAGUUGCCAAUUAAUAUUUCCCGAUACUAUCCAGGCCUGAAAACAGGAGAGGAAAUUACAUUCCCAUUAGCUGGGAAUGGUUUUACAUCCCUUUCAUGGUAAUAUGAGAGUAUACCAUCUUCAUUUAUCUUAUCUACCCAAGCAUUGUUCUAAAUCAAAUAUGAUCAGUAUGUUAAAUAAUAACAGCAAUAAGGUAUAACAAUCAGAUCAGAAGGUAAGGAAAAAAACUGGCAGGCAGAGGUACGGGGUAAUUCAUGUGAAAUCCAGGGGUACCAUCUCUCCAGGGGAGGAAGUGUUUCGGCCUGGGGCGGGGGUACAACAGGGAAUGAGAAAGUUCGGACAUUCUGAGAAUCUGGCACUGGAUUAAUGUGAAAUGUCCUAGAAGAGUGUCCUGCAAGAAGGAGUCAGUUAGAGGACAUGGAGGGACACAAAAGCUGCAUUAUUAGCACAAGCAGGCAUAACCCUCACCCCAGCUAGGAAUGUGAUGUGUGCUCAUGGUCUGUGAGCAACCCUAGAUUUAGGAGGCAGGGUGUGGAAGCAGCACAGAACCAAGGGUCUGAAGAGCCAGCCUCUGGUUUUGGUGAGGUUAUUUACUAGCCAUCUGGUUUUGGACAGGUCAGUUGAUCAUUCUAGGCUUCAGUCUAUCUGAGAAAUCAGAAAAAACAUCUUUGUCUCUAACACUUUACAAAUUUGGGGCUCUCACAGACCCUAGGAUCGUCCACGUCGAGAGCAAGCGCUUCCACACGGACACCUUCAAGCUCUGAGGGGAUAAAAGCAGGUCAUCGAUAGCCUGGCUCCCUCUCUCUCUCCCACUCCUCGGCCCUCCCCAGGCUCCGGCCCCUCCUAUGCAGACUUCCUAGUAGUAUUUAACAGACAGCUCACUGGCUUAUAACAUAAAUAGUCUUUUUCUUUCACCCUGUUUCUCAUAUUGUACAGAUGUGUCUACCUUAUAAGAUGUGAGCUCUUGAGGGGCGAUGCAUGACUUGCUUUGCGGCUCUGCUACCUGCCCCCUACCCCGCGCCCCCCAGCCAUGAGCAGGGAAUACUUAAAUGAUAUUGGCGAGAGUCAAGAUGACUGACUUUUCAUAGUUCCCUUUGUUUCUACCCUAUGACUGGGCUUCUUGCACAUUCUCCACACCUCCUCUCUCCCUCACUUCAGAAUCCACGUCAUCACCAAGCCCUAUCAGCUUUACCUCCCAGAUUCCUCUCAACCCCAUCUGUCAGCCGUCCCAUCUCCACCACUAAGCUCUUGUCCCAGGGGACCACCAUCUCUCGUCUGAAUUCCUGCAGUGGCCUCCCAACUGACGUCGCAGAUUUUCAAGUAUUUCACUUUACUAUUUUGAAGGAAGAAUGGAUAAACUGAAAAUUGCUAGAGCAAACAGCCUGGAGUCAGGUUGUGAAGUGGCUUAUUUGGCAUGCUACGGACACUGGCGGUCUUUGCGAAGAGGUGCGAAUGGGACGGCCGCCGGCUAGGGCAAGUAUCCAGGACCGGGGCGGGUCUUGCCGUCGGGCGGCGCUGACAGCGAGUACAACUGGCGGGCAGGCUCCGCCUUCCUUCUUCCGCCUCCUGAGGGCGUUCCGGGCGCAGGGCGGGGCUAGGGGCGGGGUCAGGAGGCCCAGGCCCCGCCUCCUUCCGUCCGCUGCGGUCGGCGCGGCAGGGCGGGGCCGCUGGG